UUUUAAAAAUUUCCAUCAAUUUCUACUGUUAAAAACUGGUUCCUAUACGUCAGUAUGAGUUACACAUACCCAGCCAUGUGUCAUUGUCAGGUUAUUUCGUUAACCAUGCCAAUUUUUAAUAGUAAAAAUGGAUUAAAUUUUUAACA
rnacentral:pre_miRNA from 1 species